ACCUGCCUUGUUGAUAGUGUUGUUAAGAAGGUAGAAACUAGGGCCUGUAGGACUUGCCUUGUUGAUAGUGCUUUUAAGAAGGUAGAAACUAGGGCCUGUAGGACCUGCCUUGUUGAUGGUGUUGUUAAGAAGGUAGAAACUAGGGCCUGUAGGACCUGCCUAGUUGAUAAUGUUGUUAAGAAGGUAGAGCAGUGCAAUUUUUUCCAAAGGUUUACCAAGUGUCAUUAACAGGCCUAUUUGGUCAGCUAUUUGAGCCAGUAAAGGGGGCUUUACUAUUCUUAGGUAGUGGAAUGACUUUAGCUUCCCUCCAGGCCUGAGGACACACACUUUCUACUAGGCUUAAAUUGAAUAUGUGGCAAAUAGGAGAUGUAAUAUUGUCCACUAUUAUCUUCAGUAAUUUUCCAUCCAAGUUGUCAGACCCCGGUGGCUUGUCAUUGUUGAUAGACGACAAUCAUUUUUUCACUUCUUCCACACUCACUUAACGGAAUUCAAAUGUACAAUUCUUGUCUUUCAUAAUUUGGUCUGAUAUACUUGGAUGUGUAGUGUCAGCGUUUGUUGCUGGUAUGAGUAGGUGUGUCCAAACUUUUGACUGGAAGUGUGUACUUGUAUAUGUAUAUGUAGUGUCAGUGUUUGUUGCUGGCAUGUCAUCCCUAAAUUUGCUAAUCUUUCCAAUUAAACAAUCAUCAAAGUAGUUGGCAAUAUCAGUGGGUUUUGUGAUGAAUAAGCCAUCUGAUUCAAAAAUGUAUCUUUGUUUCAUAGUGUAGUUUCUUAUCCUUUUCAUGAACAGUUUAGCACAGCAUUGAGGUGAUGGUAUCUGACAUGAACAGUUUAGCACAGCGUUGACAGUAUCUGACAUGAACAGUUUAGCACAGUGUUGACAGUAUCUGACAUGAACAGUUUAGCACAGCGUUGACAGUAUCUGACAUGAACAGUUUAGCACAGCGUUGACAGUAUCUGACAUGAACAGUUUAGCACAGCAUUGACAGUAUCUGACAUGAACAGUUUAGCACAGCGUUGAGGUGAUGGUAUCUGACAUGAACAGUUUAGCACAGCAUUGACAUGAUGGUAUCUGACAUGAACAGUUUAGCACAGCAUUGACAGUAUCUGACAUGAACAGUUUAGCACAGCAUUGACAGUAUCUGACAUGAACAGUUUAGCACAGCGUUGACACUAUCUGACAUGAACAGUUUAGCACAGCAUUGAUGUGACAGUAUC
ensembl:lncRNA